CCUGUCCACCGUAUGACUAAGGUUUCCUGGGGAAGGCUCGUCCGCCCAGGGUUAGUCGGGACCUAAGCCGAGGCCGAUAGGCGUAGGCGAUGGACAACAGGUUGAUAUUCCUGUACCAGUUGUUUUUGUUUGAGCAAUGGAGGGACGCAGUAGGCUAAGGAAUGCAUGCGAUUGGAAGUGCAUGUCCAAGCAAUGAGUCUUGAGUAGAGUUAAAUGCUUUACUCUCUAAGGACAAGUUGUGACGGGGAGCGAAAUAAUAGUAGCGAAGUUCCUGAUGUCACACUGCCAAGAAAAGCUUCUAGUGAGAAAACAACUGCCCGUACCGUAAACCGACACAGGUAGUCGAGGAGAGUAUCCUAAGGUGAGCGAGCGAACUCUCGUUAAGGAACUCGGCAAAAUGACCCCGUAACUUCGGGAGAAGGGGUGCUGACUUCGGUCAGCCGCAGUGAAUAGGCCCAAGCGACUGUUUAUCAA
rnacentral:rRNA from 1 species